CGGGCUGUAGCGCAGUCUGGUAGCGCACUUGCCUGGGGGGCAAGGGGUCGUGGGUUCGAAUCCCGCCAGCCCGACCA
rnacentral:tRNA from 7 species